GGGUGCAUAGCUCAGUUAGUAGGGAAUUGGGCUUUUAACCUAAUGGUCACAGGUUCAAGUCCUGCUAUACCCA
rnacentral:tRNA from 1 species